rnacentral:rRNA from 1 species
AGCUCCAGUAGCGUAUAUUAAAGUUGUUGCAGUUAAAAAGCUCGUAGUUGGAUUUCUGGCGGACGCGUAUGGUCCUGGUCAACACGACUUUGUGUACCGUCGUUUGUUCGUCAUCUUUUCAGGGAGCUACGCCUGCCGUCUUCGCACGGAAGGGCGCUGCGAUCUGGAUCGUUUACUUUGAAAAAAUUAGAGUGUUCCAAGCAGGCUUACGCUUUGAAUACAUUAGCAUGGAAUAAUAAUAUAGGACUUCUGUUCUAUUUUGUUGGUUUCUAGGACCGAAGUAAUGAUUGAUAGGGAUAGUUGGGGGUGCUAGUAUUCAGCGGCCAGAGGUGAAAUUCUUGGAUUCGCUGAAGACUAACUACUGCGAAAGCAUUCACCAAGGAUGUCUUCUUUAAUCAAG